AAACCUACGGGGGGCAGCAGUGGGGGAUAUUGCACAAUGGGGGGAACCCUGAUGCAGCGACGCCGCGUGGGUGAAGGAGCGUUUCGGCGCGUAAAGCCCUAUCGGCAGGGAAGAAAAUGACGGUACCUGACUAAGAAGCCCCGGCUAACUACGUGCCAGCAGCCGCGGUAAUACGUAGGGGGCAAGCGUUAUCCGGAUUUACUGGGUGUAAAGGGAGCGUAGACGGCGGCGCAAGGCCGGAGGGAAAGCCCACGGCCCCACCGGGGGACU
rnacentral:rRNA from 1 species